UUGCAGGUUAUAGCAUGGUUUUACCAAACUAUAUGUUAACACAACAAUCUGACACGAGUGAGAAGAUGAGAGCCGUGCCUAUUGGCUAACACAUUGAGGUAUUGGUGUUCUUUUGGUCCAGACUCCAGAUCAUCAUAGAAAAGAAUGGCAGUUGCAGCAAAUGAUUCGAUUUGGAACAAAUAAUCUAAAGUUACAGGCAAUCAUGCCUCGGUUUACGCAUGUUUAAAAGCCGGAUAAACGUGCAGAGCCGAUUACAUGUACCAGAGCUGGGAAACGCGCGUCUGGCGACACGUUACUUGGCCCCGGCACGCAGUGAACUAGCCGCUCGACACGUAACUGAGUCUGUCAUUCAGGCAUAAUGCGGCGUCUGUAACGCGUUUUUCUCGAUCACGUGUAACGGAGAUAGAAAACGCGUGUUCGAUACCAUGUAACGGGAGUAAACUGUCACCGGUAAGUGCUUAACGCAGCGCUUGACGCGAAACCGGCUUUGCAUGAGUAACCAGCGCCAGUUACGAGCAUUCAGGAAGAGUUGUUGGUGGCAGAGAGAUAAUGGUUCAGUUUGCCAAAUACGGGCCAGAUGUUGAAAGAAUAAAGCAUAUAUAAUUCACUGGGUUAGGCUUGAUCAGUAUCCAUCCACCGAAGAAGCUUACAAAGAUGGAGUCAAACGUUUGGAAAUAUUGGCGUCUAAAGCCAAAGUUAGCUCCGGACUCUGUUGAGUUAAGCACCCAACAAUUCAGAACUCCUUUAACCCAGUCGAGCAUGACCAGUGACGAAUACAAGUCAGCAGUAUUACAAGCGAAAGAACACAUUCUUGCAGGUGAUAUUUUCCAGAUUCUUUUAAGUCAGCGUUUUGAACGCCGAACGUUCGCAGAUCCUUUCGAGAUUUAUCGCGCGCUAAGAGCCGUGAAUCCAAGUCCAUACAUGACUUAUUUGCAGGCUCGGGUGUGUAUCUUGGUUGGUUCAAGGCCAGAAAUUCUGACUCGUGUGAAAUCUGUAAUAGUGCUCUCUAAUUGUUGGUUUUUAAACAUGUAACAAGUUUAUGUAAACAAAGUGAUCUCUAAUAGUGCUUACUAAUUGUUGGUUUUUAAACAUGUAACAAGUUUAGGCCAUAUGAGUUGAUAGCCGU